rnacentral:rRNA from 1 species
GAUGAACGCUUUCGUCGUUCCUUAUACAUGCAAGUCGAUCGUACAGACUAGUAGCUUUCUCCUCUGACUUUAUCGUCGGACUUGUGAGUAACACGUUGAUAACCUAUCUAUAAAACUGGGUUAACUUCUUUAAACCGGAGCUAAUUCCUGCUAAUAUAUUGCAUUGCCUGGUUCAAUAGUGCUAGUUGGUUUUUCUGUCAUUUUUUGACUGAUCCGCUGCGCAUUAGCUAGUUGGUAAGGUAACGGAUUACCAAGGCCACUCUGAGUAACCGACCCGAGAGGGUGAACGGCCAAACUAGAAAUGAGACACGGUCCAGACUCCAACGGAAGGCAGAAGUAGGGAAUAUUGAGCAAUAGGCGAAAGACUGACGGAGCAACGACACGAGAGUGAUGAAGGUCUUCGGAUCGUAAAACUCUGUUAUUAGGGAAGAACAAAUGUGUAAGUAACUAUGCACGUCUUGACGGUACCUAAUCAGAAAGCCACGGCUAAAUCAGUG